ACCUCCGGACUGGGGUUCGCAAGCUUCACGGCGAACGUACCUCGGGAAGUUGGUUAAACCUCACUAUUUAGAGGAAGGUGAAGUCGUAACAAGGUCUCCGUAGGUGAACCUGCAGAAGGAUC
rnacentral:rRNA from 1 species